GCCACAUGAUGUGAUGUAGAUUGCAUUAGCAUUAUUGCAAAGAUGACUGUCCAUCUAUCACCCAGGACUGAUGGCU